rnacentral:rRNA from 1 species
UACGUAGGGUGCGAGCGUUGUCCGGAAUUAUUGGGCGUAAAGAGCUUGUAGGCGGUUUGUCGCGUCUGCCGUGAAAGCCCAGGGCUUAACCCUGGGUCUGCGGUGGGUACGGGCAGACUAGAGUGUGGUAGGGGAGACUGGAAUUCCUGGUGUAGCGGUGAAAUGCGUAGAGAUCCGGAGGAACACCAAAGGCGAAGGCAGUGUCCUGGGGAGUACCUGACGCUCAGGUGCGAAAGCCAGGGGAGCGAACGGG